CCUACGAGGUGCUGCAGUAGGGCAUAUUGCUCAAUGGGGGAAACCCUGAAGCAGCAACGCCGCGUGGAGGAUGAAGGUUUUCGGAUUGUAAACUCCUUUUGUUAGAGAAGAUAAUGACGGUAUCGAACGAAUAAGCACCGGCUAACUCCGUGCCAGCAGCAGCGGUAAUACGGAGGGUGCAAGCGUUACUCCGAAUCACUGGGCGUAAAAAGCGCGUAGGCGGGAUAGCAAGUCAGAUGUGAAAUCCUAUGGCUUAACCAUAGAACUGCAUUUGAAACUGUUAUUCUAGAGUAUGGGAGAGGUAGGUGGAUUUCUUGGUGUAGGGGUAAAAUCCGUAGAGAUCAAGAGGAAUACUCAUUGCGAAGGCGACCUGCUAGAACAUAACUGACGCUGAUGCGCGAAAGCGUGGGGAGCAAACAGGAUUAGAUACCCGAGUAGUC
rnacentral:rRNA from 1 species